rnacentral:rRNA from 1 species
GAUGAACGCUGGCGGCGUGCCUAAUACAUGCAAGUCGAGCGAACAGACGAGGAGCUUGCUCCUCUGACGUUAGCGGCGGACGGGUGAGUAACACGUGGAUAACCUACCUAUAAGACUGGGGUAACUUCGGGAAACCGGAGCUAAUACCGGAUAAUAUAUUGAACCGCAUGGUUCAAUAGUGAAAGACGGUUUUGCUGUCACUUAUAGAUGGAUCCGCGCCGCAUUAGCUAGUUGGUAAGGUAACGGCUUACCAAGGCAACGAUGCGUAGCCGACCUGAGAGGGUGAUCAGUCACACUGGAACUGAGACACGGUCCAGACUCCUACGGGAGGCAGCAGUAGGGAAUCUUCCGCAAUGGGCGAAAGCCUGACGGAGCAACGCCGCGUGAGUGAUGAAGGUCUUCGGAUCGUAAAACUCUGUUAUUAGGGAAGAACAAAUGUGUAAGUAACUAUGCACGUCUUGACGGUACCUAAACAGAAAGCCACGGCUAACUACGUG